AUCAGACCCCACCAGGUCCCACCAGAUCACAUCCGGCUCCACCAGACCCUAUCAGCUCCCACCAGAUCCCACCAGGCCCUAUCAGAUCCCACCAGAUCCCACCAGGCCCUAUCAAAUCCCAUCAGAUCCCACCAGAUCCCAUCAGAUCCGACCAGAUCCCACCAGGCCUUAUCAGAUCCCAGCAGGUCCCACCAGAUCCUAUCAGACCCCACCAGACCCCACCAGAUCCCACCAGGCCUGAUCAGAUCCCACUAUAUCCCACCAGGCCCUAUCAGAUCCCACCGGAUCCCAUCAGGUGCCACCAGGCCCUAUCAGAUCCCAUCAGAUCCCACCAGGCCCUAUCAGCUCCCAUCAGAUCCCACCAGAUCCCAUCAGUUCCCAUCAGAUCCCACCAGGCCCAGUCAGAUCCCACCAGGGAUCCCAUCAGGUGUCACCAGCCCCUAUCAACUCCCAUCAGAUCCCACCAGAUCCCAUUAGACCCCACCAGGCCCUAUCAGCUCCCAUCAGAUCCCACCAGAUCCCAUCAGCUCCCAUCAGAUCCCACCAGGCCCAGUCAGAUCCCACCAGGGAUCCCAUCAGGUGUCACCAGCCCCUAUCAACUCCCAUCAGAUCCCACCAGAUCCCAUUAGGUGCCACCAGGCUCUAUCAAUCAGCUCCCAUCAGAUCCCACCAGAUCCCACCAGGUGCCAUCAGAUCCCACUGGGUGCCACCAGGUCCCACCAGAUCCUAUCAGACCCCACCAGAUCCCACCAGAUCUCACCAGGCCCUAUCAGAAUCCACCAGAUCCCACCAGGCCCUAUCAACUCCCAUUAGAUCCCACCAGGUGCCACCAGGCCCUAUCAGAUCCCACCAGAUCCCACCAGGCCCCAUCAGAUCCCACCAGGUCCCAUCAGAUCCCACCAGGCCCUGUCAGAUCCCAUCAGGUGUCACCAGGUGCCAUCAGAUCCCAUCAGGUGUCACCAGGCCUUAUCAGAUCCCAUCAGGUGUCACCGGAUCCCAUCAUCAGAUCCCACCAGGCCCUAUCAGAUCCCACUGGAUCCCUUCAGAUCCCACCAGAUCCCAUUAGGUGCCACCAGGCUCUAUCAAUCAGCUCCCAUCAGAUCCCACCAGAUCCCACCAGGUGCCAUCAGAUCCCACUGGGUGCCACCAGGUCCCACCAGAUCCUAUCAGACCCCACCAGAUCCCACCAGAUCUCACCAGGCCCUAUCAGAUCCCACCCGAUCCCACCAGGCCCCAUCAGAUCCCACCAGGUUCCACCAGGUGCCAUCAGAUCCCUCUAG
ensembl:lncRNA